UCUCUUUCUUUUCUUUUUACCUUGCCAUUUCUUUACUAACCCAAUGAGGUGGGGACAGGAACCCCAAUCUGCUUCUAGCUUUUGGUGUCACCCACUGGGCACAUCACUCUCUGAGGAAAGGUGGGGAGUUUGACUGCAGCAGUACACCUGUCAAACUUUAAUGCAUGCGUUCUAAGACGAGCUCAGGGAGGACAGUAACCUCCCAUGGAGCAGAAGGGCAAAAGCUCGCCCAGAACUUUGGCCAUUUAUAUCCAUAUGCUUAGACAGUAUGAGCAUAUAG
rnacentral:ncRNA from 1 species